rnacentral:rRNA from 1 species
AACGAACGCUGGCGGCAUGCCUAACACAUGCAAGUCGAACGAGACCUUCGGGUCUAGUGGCUCACGGAGUCGUAAAGCGUGGAAUACUGCGCUGAUGUUCGGAAUAACUCCCCGGAAUAGGUGCGGAUAACGGAUACUAUUUUCGGACCAAAGAUGUAUCGGCUUUGGAUGGGGGCGCGUUAGUUUAGCGAGGUGGUAGUGUACGAGCCUACCAAGGCGACGAUGCGUAGCUGGUCUGAGAGGAUGCUCAGCCACACUGGAGCUGAGACACGGCCCAGACUCCUACGGAAGGGAGCAGUGGGGAAUAUUGGACAAUGGGGGCAAGCGUGACCCAGCAAUGCGGCGUGAGUGAUGAAGGGCUUAGGGUUGUAAAGCUCUUUUAGACGGGAUGAUAAUGACAGUACCGGGAGAAUAAGCUCCGGCUAACUCCGUG